GGCACUUUGGCGGAGUGGUUAACGCGCUGCCCUGCUAUCUAUCUCUGCGGUCGAUAUCGGUCUAGGCAGUUCCUUCGGGAGCGUGUGUUCGAAUCACACAGGUGUCG